UCCGUAGGUGAACCUGCGGAAGGAUCAUUAAAGAUUAUGAAUGAAUAGAUUGCUGGGGGAAUCGUCUGAACAAGGCCUGCGCUUAAUUGCGCGGCCAGUUCUUGAUUCUCUGCUAUCAGUUUUCUAUUUCUCAUCCUAAACACAAUGGAGUUUUUUCUCUAUGAACUACUUCCCUGGAGAGCUCGUCUCUCCAGUGGACAUAAACACAAACAAUAUUUUGUAUUAUGAAAAACUAUUAUUAUACUAUAAAAUUUAAUAUUCAAAACUUUCAACAACGGAUCUCUUGGUUCUCGCAUCGAUGAAGAACGCAGCGAAUUGCGAUAUGUAUUGUGAAUUGCUGAUUUUCGUGAAUCAUCAAAUCUUUGAACGCACAUUGCGCCCUCUGGUAUUCCAGGGGGCAUGCCUGUUUGAGCGUCAUUUCUCUCUCAAACCUUUGGGUUUGGUAGAGAGUGAUACUCGUCUCGGGUUAACUUGAAAGUGGCUAGCCGUUGCCAUCUGCGUGAGCAGGGCUGCGUGUCAAGUCUGUGGACUCGACUCUUGCACAUCUACGUCUUAGGUUUGCGCCAAUUCGUGGUAAGCUUGGGUCAUAGAGACUCAUAGGUGUUAUAAAGACUCGCUGGUGUUUGUCUCCUUGAGGCAUACGGCUUUAACCAAAACUCUCAAAGUUUGACCUCAAAUCAGGUGGGAGUACCCGCUGAACUUAAGCAUAUCAAUAAGCGGAGGA
rnacentral:rRNA from 1 species